rnacentral:rRNA from 1 species
UACGUAGGUACCAAGCGUUGUUCGGAUUUACUGGGCGUAAAGGGCGCGUAGGCGGCAAUUCAAGUCAUCUGUGAAAUCUCCGGGCUUAACCCGGAACGGUCAGGUGAUACUGUUUUGCUAGAGUGCGGAAGGGGCAAUCGGAAUUCUCGGUGUAGCGGUGAAAUGCGUAGAUAUCGAGAGGAACACCAGAGGUGAAGACGGGUUGCUGGGCCGACACUGACGCUGACAGCGCGAAAGCCAGGGGAGCAAACGGG